AACACUGUUAACCUGCGGUACCUGCGGAGGGAUCAUUACAGAGUUGCAAAACUCCCUAAACCAUUGUGAACGUUACCUAAACCGUUGCUUCGGCGGGCGGCCCGGGUCCUUCCCGGCGCCCCUCGGCCCUCGCGGGCGCCCGCCGGAGGUAAACCAAACUAUUGCAUUGUAUGGCCUCUCUGAGUCUUCUGUACUGAAUAAGUCAAAACUUUCAACAACGGAUCUCAGAUCGGAAGAGCA
rnacentral:misc_RNA from 1 species